rnacentral:misc_RNA from 1 species
AUCCGGCCUGGCCCUUUGCCUUGAGCUUUGCACGUGUUUCUUCCCUCCCUCCAUCCGUCAUCUAUUUAAUGUGUGGUGUGCGCGGUUAAUUGCCAGUUGGAAGUCGGAAAGCUCCAGCUAUCAACGUUGCGAUUGUGUGUUUGAAGGAAUCGUAAUUCUGGCGAGCAAAUGUUUCUGUACGCAAGAUUGCGUGGCGAAGCCAACCAAAUGUCAGAUGUGCAUGAUUCACGUGAGCUAUAAAAUUUGAUAACUUGAGCCUGAGUAUGUACCUUCAGGAUCAUGUCUUGGGUUGAAGUAAGAGUUGCUUCUCUUGUGUUUCAUAUUGCUGUGCUGCACUGUAAAAUUUGCUAUGGCGGUGAGGCAAUUGCUGCUGGUCGUUCCAUUCAAGUUCAUCUGUAGUGGUGUUUCUUUGACUGCUGAGUUUUUCUCAGGUGUUAGAGAUGGCCAUGCAUUCUGGUUGUUGGAUGCAGGUAUUUGGGCUGUGAGAUGGGUUUUGGUUGGUGCUGAUAUAGGAACCUUUCGUUUAAGAUUGUUUUGAAGGAGACAAGUAUGGUUAUUCCAGAGUUUCAUUGGCGGGGCUGGCGCUGUUGUCGACGCUGUUUGUCGGUAGGUUUACAUUAUGUCGUUGAGUUCUGAGCUUAUCCCUGUUGAAUUUUCACGUUGCUUCCAUGGCUUCCGAAAAUCUCGCAUUUGGGAGUCACAUACGGGGUGCACUGUUUGCUAUAGGUAAUCCCGUGGAUGUCUAAAACUGGGCCUGGCUCUUGUUGUAGGGCUAUUAAUAACACAGAUUGUACGUUCACGUACGAUUGAGUUUUAUUUAACUGCAAAACUCAAUUCAUACUAGUCUGUCGAAAGCCAAGUAAAUUGCUUCGCGUUUGAGGGGAUUCGAAUGUUUACAUAUUAACUUUUGUCAUGUCGUUUGCUUUCAAUUUACUGUUAUCUGUUUCAUUAGGGGUAACUUGGCUGUUUGUAAAGUCAAUAGUCGUUGGGAUUACAAAUAAGUUGGUUUUCGCUUGGUAUGGUCGUUGGGGUGUUAUAAAUUCAUGGGUGAGAUAAAUAAUCUUCUGCGUCCUUUGCUUUACCGUUUCUAGAUGCUUGUGACACUGUGGUGAUAAGAUUCGAAGGUGUUGUCUAUGUCAGAUCAUUCUCUCCAGUUCUGAGCUGAUUAUGAUUGGCGCAAGCUAUGCCAGGGAUGGAAUGCUGCAUAUACUUGUUAGGGUGGGUAAAAUGUUUUAAGUGUUUAGUAUUCUCGCGAAGAAUGGUGUUUCGUUUUUAUAGUUUGUUUUGAGACAAAAAUUUUUUUUUUCGAAUUUUCGAGAUAGGGAAAAUGGGGGAAAAUAAAACAUUUUAUGAACGUAGGUUACCCAACCACUAAAAAUAUGAAAUAAUUCACACGAUAUGCUGAAUUUUUGUGCAUAAUUUACAUGUGCAUACCAAAGUGAUACCGUGCAUGAUUUAAUUAAAAAUUACAGUAUGUGAAGCAUUGGAUCAGUAGGGAAACCCAAAAUUAUUAUCUUAGCGGACUCAGCGCCACUAUGCGGUACCUCACGCGCAUCGCUACAGAGGGAUAUAAGCGUUAGCGAUCUUCCACUUCGUUGUCUAUGGUCACAUAGAGCUUGAUCACAUAACAAGUAUAAAUGCGCAGCAGCGCCAUCUCGUUUUACAAUUUAUUAAAAAAAAUACAAGCUUAAAAAACUUGCUCAUUUUUUAUUGCGAGAACUGCAUUGAUAUGAACUUUUUGAUUCUAAUUCUAAUACUACUAAUUAUAGAGCGGUACAUAUCCAGUUUAUGUCAAUGCAAAAAGUCCGUGAACAAAACAAUAAAACUAACAUUAAAUAAAUUCUUCAUUAAGCAUACUUCUACGUGAAAGUUUCCGAGUAAAUUCAAGAAUGGAGAUCCAACUCUAGCAGAAUAUUGAAAGUCAAUAGCACUUCUUUUAAGACUUGAAGGUUUAUUUCAACAACAACAAAUUUUCAGUUACAAACUCUGAAUAUCCAGAUUCAUUGAGAAAUGAAUACUUCCUGUUUAAGCUUUUCAAUUAACAUCAAUUUCCCGAUAGGGAUUCUAUCAAACCUCGCAUUUCCCAACCCCCUUCAAGGCCGGGCUUUGUGCGUCGCCUGGCAACGGACUGGUUUUUCCACAGGCCGUGUGAGGUUGUCAACAUGGUCUCACUACAUAUGUAUUAAGGUCAUGCAAAACCAUUCGUCAGCCACAUUUACAGGACAAUCAUUAACGCACAUUUUGUGGUACAAAACAGAUUUUCUGUUUCGACAGUCUCGUGAGAUCUCGUGGCACGACUUUGAAUGGAUGGAAAUGGAGUCAUGCAUGCCAAAUUUUAUUUCCCUAACUUGUAAAAUGAUGAAACACCACACGAAAAAUGAGUUCCGUCUCCCUUUUUACUACCCAAAAACCGCUUCCGUGUUUAACACAGAGUUUACGGGGAAACGGCUUUAGCGAAAAUCACUGCCGUUAGUUAUCUUUAAUCCCCUCCUCUUCCGUUUUUGUCUUAUGUUAAAGAGCUAAUUCUCUUCUACAAACCCAGUAAAAGAUUUUUGGAAGGGGGAAUUAGUUUUAAAGUUAUUAGAUUUUAUAUACAGCCCAUAUUUCCUGAAAUUUUCUAAAUAUUGGUCUUAUAGUUUUUCAUUUACAUAUUAAAAACCAUAAAUGAAGUUGGUGCGCUAA